AGAGUUUGAUCCUGGCUCAGGACGAACGCUGGCGGCGUGCCUAACACAUGCAAGUCGAGCGAAGCUUGAAAUUUUCGGUUUCGGCUGGAGGUUUUAAGACUGAGCGGCGAACGGGUGAGUAACACGUGGGUGAUCUACCCAGGAGACCGGGAUAACAGUUUGAAAGGGCUGCUAAUACCGGAUGAUACUGCUAUUUUAAGGGGUAGUAGUUAAAGUGUUAUGUAGCGCUUCUGGAUGAGCCCGCGUCCCAUUAGCUAGUUGGUGGGGUAAUGGCCUACCAAGGCUGCGAUGGGUAGCCGGUCUGAGAGGAUGGUCGGCCACACUGGGACUGAGAUACGGCCCAGACUCCUACGGGAGGCAGCAGUGGGGAAUUUUGCGCAAUGGGGGCGACCCUGACGCAGCGACGCCGUGUGGGUGAAGAAGGCCUUCGGGUCGUAAAGCUCUGUCAUAGGGGAAGAGGAGAAGACGGUACCCUAUGAGGAAGCCCCGGCUAACUACGUGCCAGCAGCCGCGGUAAU
rnacentral:rRNA from 1 species